rnacentral:rRNA from 1 species
AGAUUGAACGCUGGCGGCAUGCCUUACACAUGCAAGUCGAACGGCAGCACGGGAGCAAUCCUGGUGGCGAGUGGCGAACGGGUGAGUAAUAUAUCGGAACGUGCCCAGUCGUGGGGGAUAACGCAGCGAAAGCUGUGCUAAUACCGCAUACGAUCUAUGGAUGAAAGCGGGGAUCGCAACGACCUCGCGCGAUUGGAGCGGCCGAUAUCAGAUUAGCUUA